rnacentral:rRNA from 1 species
AUUGAACGCUGGCGGCAGGCCUAACACAUGCAAGUCGAGCGGGGUUUUCGGACCUAGCGGCGGACGGGUGAGUAAUGCGUAGGAAGCUGCCCGAUAGAGGGGGAUACCAGUUGGAAACGACUGUUAAUACCGCAUAAUGUCUACGGACCAAAGUGUGGGACCUUCGUGCCACAUGCUAUCGGAUGCGCCUACGUGGGAUUAGCUAGUUGGUGAGGUAAUGGCUCACCAAGGCGACGAUCUCUAGCUGGUUUGAGAGGAUGAUCAGCCACACUGGAGCUGAGACACGGUCCAGACUCCUACGGGAGGCAGCAGUGGGGAAUAUUGGACAAUGGGCGCAAGCCUGAUCCAGCCAUGCCGCGUGUGUGAAGAAGGCCUUCGGGUUGUAAAGCACUUUCAGCGAGGAGGAAGGGUGGUGUGUUAAUAGCACAUCAUUUUGACGUUACUCGCAGAAGAAGCACCGGCUAACUCUGUGCCAGCCGCCGCUGUAA